ACCACAGUGCCUGCAACCUUCUUUAACCAAGUCACCAUAAGCUUUUGAUAGGGCUUUUGUCUUUCCCUUUCUCAUACAUUUUUCUGUCCUAGAGAAAGUGGGAGAUUUAAAAAUUAUGUAUUCUGUCUUUGCUUGGGUACUGUGAAGUCAGGUAUAUUUGUAGAGUUGGGUUAGCGAGGUAGUGACAAUUUCCUUUUAAAGAUGUAUAUCUUCUUUCUCCCCAAUUCUUUCCAAAGAAAUUACUGAUGCUGAGGAAGAUCCUGAGGAUAAAGCAACAAACGCAGUCUGGAACCAGUGACAUUAAAGACCUGAACCCUGCACCUCAUCUUGGGACAAUUCUAAGGGCUACCUGAGUUCCACAUAUUAUCAAGGACUCAGCUGAAUCUUUUGAUGGAAAACUUGAGACCAGCGUCAGAGCUAGACAAGGGCCAUGGAGGGCCAAGGUCAUGGCAGAGCCUCAAUUGUCUCCACAGGGAGCGGUUAUGGACAACCUAAGAGUCUUGCUCUGUUGCCUAGGCUGAAGUGAAGUAGUGUGAUCUCGGCUCGCCACAACCUCUGCCUCCCAGGUUCAAGCGAUUCUCCUGCCUCAGCCUCCCGAGUAGCUGGAACUAUAGGUCAUCUAGGGGAAAACAGAAGUAUGAGGAUUGAGACUUCUUCUGAAAAUCAGUGAGUGGCUCUCUGCAGUGGUUACAGAAAUGCCCCAGCAUGGACUCCCUCCUGUAAACUGGCUCUGCUGUCCCAGCAGUGACGGAAAGCACUCAAUUUGUUUUCUCUUGGAAGAGACAGAGUGGCUGUCAGUUUACUGCAAUAUUUUGGACUGCCUGGAAAAUUCAAUGUACAACAGGAGAAAGGAGAGGCAGGAGACAGACUCUGGAAUAGAAGUCAAAGACAAAGAGGCUCGUAAACAUCAAGAUUCUGGGGCUAAUCUAGCCAUUCACAGCUUUAGAACCAUGGACAGUAAAACUUAAAAUAUAUACUAUGUUCUAACCACCACAAGGUUAUUCACUCUAGCAACUAAAAAAGCACUGGCCUCAGGAUUUGCAACAUUAAAAGUCACAGCUCAUCCACCAUCAGAUGCUAACUGACCCUGCUGUUCCACAAGCCAUAACUACAGCUUUGAUUGGACAAGAGUCUGGUUUCAGUAACUUUCUCCUGAUUAAGAAGACCACUGACCAUUGACUGGUUUUGCCAGUUUACAGAGAUUACACACUUACCUACCUUUGUAUGUAAAAUGAUCUUUUGAUAUAUAAAGCAUAACUGUAGCACAUUUAAAUGUUAAGUAGCCACCCCAAAGUGAACAUGGGUCAUAUGUUACGUGCAUGUUUGUUCAAUAGGCAUGUGUCAGGACCACCUUCAUGAAUAUUCAUAGCUCCUCCUGUAACCAGUUAAAUAUAUAUGUUUAGCCAACCUCUUCAGCAUAAAGCUCCCACCCCAAGCCCUCCUUUGAAGGGCCUGUCUCUAGUUUUGCCUGGAUGGCCACCUUGCAGGCUGUAACCCUUUGGAAGAAAUAAAGUCUCCUCUCUCCUUUUCAAAACUUAAAAA
rnacentral:lncRNA from 1 species